rnacentral:rRNA from 1 species
UACGGGGGGGGCAAGCGUUGUUCGGAAUUACUGGGCGUAAAGGGCGCGUAGGCGGCCUACUAAGUCGGACGUGAAAUCCCUCGGCUCAACCGAGGAACUGCGUCCGAUACUGGCAGGCUGGAAUCCGGGAGAGGGAUGCGGAAUUCCAGGUGUAGCGGUGAAAUGCGUAGAUAUCUGGAGGAACACCGGUGGCGAAGGCGGCAUCCUGGACCGGUAUUGACGCUGAGGCGCGAAAGCCAGGGGAGCAAACGGG